CCGUUGAAAGGGGGGAGUGCCGUAAGGAACCAGAAGACAGGUGCUGCAUGGCUGUCGUCAGCUCGUGUCGUGAGAUGUUGGGUUAAGUCCCGCAACGAGCGCAACCCUCGUCGUUAGUUGCCAUCAUUAAGUUGGGAACUCUAGCGAGACUGCCGGUGACAAACCGGAGGAAGGUGAGGAUGACGUCAAGUCAGCAUGGCCCUUACGUCCUGGGCGACACACGUACUACAAUGCGAGGGACAGAGAGCAGCCAACCCGCGAGGGAGAGCGAACCUCUUAAACCCUGGCACAGUUCAGAUUGCAGGCUGCAACUCGCCUGCAUGAAGGAGGAAUCGCUAGUAAUCGCAGGUCAGCAUACUGCGGUGAAUCCGUUCCCGGGCCUU
rnacentral:rRNA from 1 species